rnacentral:rRNA from 1 species
UAACCUACGGGGCGCAGCAGUGGGGAAUAUUGCACAAUGGGGGAAACCCUGAUGCAGCGACGCCGCGUGAAGGAAGAAGUAUUUCGGUAUGUAAAGCCCUAUCAGCAGGGAAGAAGAAAUGACGGUACCUGAGUAAGAAGCACCGGCUAAAUACGUGCCAGCAGCCGCGGUAAUACGUAUGGUGCAAGCGUUAUCCGGAUUUACUGGGUGUAAAGGGAGCGCAGGCGGCACGGCAAGCCUGAUGUGAAAGCCCGCGGCCCAACCGCGGGACCGCCUUGGGAACUACCGGGCUGGAGUGCCGGAGG